UCUUAUGUACAUGCCUACACUGUUAAUGCAUCAUAUCCCAUUAGAACUCUACAAUUAAGUGCACUUGGGAUAUAUUAGUACAAGGAUGGGUGACCUCCUGGGAAGUCCUAGUGUUUUACAUGCC
rnacentral:rRNA from 1 species